AGCUAAAUGAGACAUAUUCUAUUCAGAUUGAAAAGAGAGAUAAGAAGAACAUAUAGUUUUCUAUUUUAUUUGGAUUGAUUAGGAUAUAAAAAAUAAAUUGAUGUGGGUUUAAAUAUUUGGGGUGAGGUAUCAAAAGAUAAAUAGAGAAGUAAUGAAUAAAGAAAAAAAAGAAGGAAAAAAAGGGAGAGAGGUCAAAGUGAAGAG
rnacentral:lncRNA from 1 species